rnacentral:rRNA from 1 species
GUAGGGUGCAAGCGUUAAUCGGAAUUACUGGGCGUAAAGCGUGCGCAGGCGGUUUUGUAAGUCUGUCGUGAAAGCCCCGGGCUCAACCUGGGAAUUGCGAUGGAGACUGCAAGGCUUGAAUCUGGCAGAGGGGGGGUAGAAUUCCACGUGUAGCAGUGAAAUGCGUAGAGAUGUGGAGGAACACCGAUGGCGAAGGCAGCCCCCUGGGUCAAGAUUGACGCUCAUGCACGAAAGCGUGGGGGAGCAAACAGGAUUAGAUACCCUGGUAGUCCACGCCCUAAACGAUGUCUACUAGUUGUCGGGUUUUUAAUUAACUUGGUAACGCAGCUAACGCGUGAAGUAGACCGCCUGGGGAGUACGGUCGCAAGAUUA